rnacentral:tRNA from 1 species
GCGGGCGUAGCUUAAUGGUAGAGCUGUAGCCUUCCAAGCUUCAGACACGGGUUCGAUUCCCGUCGCCCGCUCCA